CUCGGUUACCGUGCGAAAUCAAGAGGCUGGGAUUCGGGUUCGGCUGUCGGCUGCCUGGCUCGGAUAGAAGGAUUAAAGACGACUAAACGUGUAGAAACCUUUCGGAUUCCUUGUUUGGACGCGGGUUCGACUCCCGCCACCUCCACUG
rnacentral:tmRNA from 1 species